ACGAACGCUGGCGGCGUGCCUAAUACAUGCAAGUAGAACGCUGAAGGAGGAGCUUGCUCUUCUGGAUGAGUUGCGAACGGGUGAGUAACGCGUAGGUAACCUGCCUGGUAGCGGGGGAUAACUAUUGGAAACGAUAGCUAAUACCGCAUAAGAGUAGAUGUUGCAUGACAUUUGCUUAAAAGGUGCAAUUGCAUCACUACCAGAUGGACCUGCGUUGUAUUAGCUAGUUGGUGGGGUAACGGCUCACCAAGGCGACGAUACAUAGCCGACCUGAGAGGGUGAUCGGCCACACUGGGACUGAGACACGGCCCAGACUCCUACGGGAGGCAGCAGUAGGGAAUCUUCGGCAAUGGACGGAAGUCUGACCGAGCAACGCCGCGUGAGUGAAGAAGGGUGUCGGAUCGUAAAGCUCUGUUGUAAGAGAAGAACGAGUGUGAGAGUGGAAAGUUCACACUGUGACGGUAUCUUACCAGAAAGGGACGGCUAACUACGUG
rnacentral:rRNA from 1 species